CCAGACCAGUCCGUGCCAACAGCGUUGCGCUUCAGUCUGGAGCUUCUUUUCUCCGGGUUUUUGAGUAAGGCAAAUAAGCUUUUUGGAGUGCAAGGAGUUCGCGGUUAUCUCACAAUGUCGGGUGAGUCGGAUCAGCCUCAGCCAGGACCCUCACACGCUGGUCUCUACUUGGAGCACCGCGAAAGAGAUCAGGCUGGGGUCCCAGGAGGAGUGAUCCGAAGAGCUGGUAGCCAAAGGCACAGGUCCUGGAUCCAAACUGUUAUUGAGCAAAUAACUGGCUCCCCUAGACAGUGUGUUACCCUCUCGGAAGUGGUACCUGUCUCUGUGCUGGCCGUCCAAAGAUACCUUUUAGAGGAUGAGCCACGGGAUACAGUGCCCAAGCCUCCCCUUUACUGCUAUGAUGUGACAAUCUCAGACGGGGUGUACCAGGAGAAGUGCUACUUAGACCCCAGCUUAAACUUUCUCGUUUAUCAGAAUAUUCUUAAAGUUGGCAUAGAAAUGAGAAUUUCCAGAGUCUCGUGCCUUUACAAUGAGAAAAGAUUGGGCCAGGGGAUCCUGUGCAUAGAUAAGGUCCACUGUGGGGAGCCCCUAGAUGUCAUUUCUGUAGAAACUCCAUUUAGAAACAGAGCCCAUGAAGAAAAGCCAGAGCGGCCUCUAAGAGGGAGCAAGAGUCAUUACCUGGCUCUAUGGAAUAACGAAGAUCCAUACGGAGAUAUAUGGAAGACCAACAAGCAACCUGAGGAGUUCAAUUUUA
rnacentral:lncRNA from 1 species